GGCGAACGGGUGAGUAACACGUGGGCAACCUGCCCCUCGCAGGGGGACAACCGGAGGAAACUCCGGCUAAUACCCCGUACGCUUGUUGGAUCGCAUGGUCCGGCAAGGAAAGGUAGCUUCGGCCAUCCGGCGAGGGAUGGGCCCGCGUUGCAUUAGCUAGUUGGUGGGGUAACGGCCUACCAAGGCGACGAUGCGUAGCUGGUCUGAGAGGAUGAUCAGCCACACUGGGACUGAGACACGGCCCAGACUCCUACGGGAGGCAGCAGCCAGGAAUCUUGGGCAAUGGGCGAAAGCCUGACCCAGCAACACCGUGUGGGCGAUGAAGGCCUUAGGGUCGUAAAGCCCUGUUGAUAGGGACGAAGGGCGAAGGGUUAAUAGCCCCUAGCUUGACGGUACCUUUCGAGGAAGCCCCGGCUAACUACGUGCCAGCAGCCGCGGUAAUACGUAGGGGGCGAGCGUUGUCCGGAAUUAUUGGGCGUAAAGAGCGUGUAGGCGGUUCGGUAAGUCUGCUGUGAAAUCCUGGGGCUCAACCCUGGGCGUGCAGCGGAUACUGCCGGGCUAGAGGGUGGUAGAGGCGAGUGGAAUUCCGAGUGUAGCGGUGAAAUGCGCAGAUAUUCGGAGGAACACCAGUAGCGAAGGCGGCUCGCUGGGCCACACCUGACGCUGAGACGCGAAAGCGUGGGGAGCGAACAGGAUUAGAUACCCUGGUAGUCCACGCCGUAAACGAUGGAUACUGGGUGUGGGGGGAGUCGAAUCCCUCUGUGCCGAAGUUAACGCGUUAAGUAUCCCGCCUGGGGAGUACGGCCGCAAGGCUAAAACUCAAAAGAAUUGACGG
rnacentral:rRNA from 1 species